UAAAACUUUCUACUGCACUACGUCCUUU
rnacentral:sRNA from 1 species